UACCGGUUGUCGCGCCAGCGGCAGCGCCGGGUAGCUACGUCCGGAAGGGAGAAACGCUGAAGGCAUCUAAGCGUGAAACCCUCCACAAGAUGAGAUCUCCCGAGCCGUAAGGCUCCUAAAGGCUCCUGGAAGAUGACCAGGUCGAUAGGUCGGGUGUGUAAGCGCGGUGACGCGUUGAGCUUACCGAUACUAAUCAGCCGUGAGGCUUGACCAUAAAU
rnacentral:rRNA from 1 species